GGAAGGAUCAUUAUUGAAAUAAACCUGAUGGGGUUGUUGCUGGUUCUCUAGGGAGCAUGUGCACGCCUUGUCACCUUUAUAUCUCCACCUGUGCACCUUUUGUAGACCUCUUCAGGUCUAUGUUGCUUCAUUUACACCAACGUAUGUCAAUAGAAUGUUGUGCCUAAUAUAUAAUAUAUACAACUUUCAGCAACGGAUCUCUUGGCUCUCGCAUCGAUGAAGAACGCAGCGAAAUGCGAUAAGUAAUGUGAAUUGCAGAAUUCAGUGAAUCAUCGAAUCUUUGAACGCACCUUGCGCUCCUUGGUAUUCCGAGGAGCAUGCCUGUUUGAGUGUCAUUAAUAUAUAUAUCAACCUUCUCUUGUGGAAUGGUUUGGAUGUGGGAGUUUGCUGGCCUCAUUGAAGAGUUCAGCUCUCCUGAAAUGCAUUAGCAGAACAACCUUGUUCAUUGGUGUGAUAAACUAUCUACGCUAUUGAAUGUGAGGGGCAAGUUCAGCUUUCCAACUGUCCUUGGACAAACUAAUCAUCAAUGUGACCUCAAAUCAGGUAGGACUACCCGCUGAACUUAAGCAUAUCAAUAAGCGGAGGAA
rnacentral:sRNA from 1 species